UAGUGGAAGAAAGAGAAGAAGAAGAGGAGGAAAAACGAUACGGUCGCGGGAUCGUCUUCCGGGAACAUUUCUGUUUCCGUUAACAGUUUCAACUUCUUCUUUUUUCUUUCUUUUUUCAACUUUUCAAACU
rnacentral:ribozyme from 1 species